rnacentral:rRNA from 1 species
UACGUAGGGGGCAGGCGUUAUCCGGAUUUACUGGGUGUAAAGGGGGCGCAGACGGCGAUGCAAGCCAGGAGUGAAAGCCCGGGGCCCAACCCCGGGACUGCUCUUGGAACUGCGUGGCUGGAGUGCAGGAGGGGCAGGCGGAAUUCCUGGUGUAGCGGUGAAAUGCGUAGAUAUCAGGAGGAACACCGGUGGCGAAGGCGGCCUGCUGGACUGCAACUGACGUUGAGGCUCGAAAGCGUGGGGAGCAAACAGG